AAAUGGCUUUUUGUUAUAUGAAUGCCAUGGAAAUGUAUACUCUUUAUUGAGGUCCUGCAUUUGAUUUCCCAUCUCUAGAGUGAUAGAUCCUGUCUAGGUAAUUGGAAAAGAGCAUGCCAAGAGUUAUCUCACUCUAAACACAUUAGGAGCUGAGAUAAAUCCUGGACGAGCCAAGCUCACAGAAGAUGAAAUGUAGCAGAAACAACACCAAGUUUUCUAGUCACACAGAGGCAGUGGGACUGACUGCUAUUGCAAUAUGCAUGAGGAUAUACACAUCUGUACAGGUACUUGCAGAAAACUGGAGUCUCUCCUGCUAAUCCUUUUUCCAUUGCUAGAAGUUCCCACACGGUCUGGCAGCACACAGCUGGGACAGGCUGGAACAGCAUCUCUCACAUGGGCCUCUGCAGUGAAAGCUGAGACCAGAAACAGAUCCCAGGCAAGACACAGCUCCUCGAGGACAGUGCAGACUCAGAGUAGAAGCUCUCAGCUCCAGCUCAGCAUCCCACCAGCCUCCAGUUCAGUCUGAUCCCACAGUGGCCCUUCCACAUCCUGCCACAUCAUCAAUCUGCAAAGCACAUUCUUCAGGCGGGGCAACAAGGAGUGUGCAAGGAGGAUGGUGUCUGGUCAUCGCCGAAGCUCAGCCAUGACAUAUAUGCAAGGAGAAGAAAGAACUGGAUCUGGAACUUCAUUGUCCAUACUGACUGGCUUUUAAUUAAUGAUUUUUGGCUUGGGCCAGCUAGGACUGUCUCAUAGAAUACUUGUGUGCCUCUGAGUGCAUGAUCUUUUGGAUGCCUGGAUCAGGCCUUGGGAAACUUCUUGGCUGAUUUUGCCAAAGCUGCUGAAUUUCUUUGUAUCAGUUUAAGUGGAGCAAAAAUUUCUAUCUCAAACUGUGCAUCAUCUGCUUAGGCAAGGCAGGUCCUUCAAGGUGCUGGGUGUGUAAAUGGGAAAACAGAGAUCACCCAAAUCUCUUUGAGGAGCUGGGCCAAAGCUCUUUUGAGACUGGGUGGUUUCUUACUACGUAUGGAUAUGUAGAACUUCAUGAACCCCGAUCUUGGCUGAGAUCUAAGCAUUAAUAAUAGUUGUGCAAACUAGGAAUCAUUUUCUCAUAGUGACAUGUCAAAAAAUCCAUCCCACCCAUCCAGAAACAGAUUCUGUGGCUUAUUCCCAUGUUCUCCUGAUAGCAAAGUGUUCACACAACUUUACAUAUUCUAGGCAUGCUAAUGCUAAGAUCUAACACUUACUUUUGAAUAAAACAAAAUAUGUAAAAAUAAACGGAUGAAAAUGCU